UGGGGAAUCUUGCACAAUGCGCGAAAGCGUGAUGCAGCAACGCCGCGUGCGGGAAGAAGGCCUUAGGGUUGUAAACCGCUUUCAGUUGGGACGAAGCUUCAGUCGUUAAUAGCGGUUUGGAGUGACGGUACCUUCAGAAGAAGCGCCGGCUAACUACGUGCCAGCAGCCGCGGUAAUACGUAGGGCGCGAGCGUUGUCCGGAAUCAUUGGGCGUAAAGCGCGUGUAGGCGGCUGAGUAAGUCUGCUGUGAAAGUCCAGGGCUCAACCCUGGAAUGUCGGCGGAUACUGCUCAGCUGGAGUACGGGAGGGGCGAGUGGAAUUCCUGGUGUAGCGGUGGAAUGCGCAGAUAUCAGGAGGAACACCUAUGGCGAAGGCAGCUCGCUGGAACGUUACUGACGCUGAGACGCGAAAGCGUGGGGAGCAAACA
rnacentral:rRNA from 1 species